UACGGAGGGUGCGAGCGUUGUCCGGAAUCACUGGGCGUAAAGGGCGCGUAGGCGGCGCGGAUAGUCGGCGGUGAAAGCCCGGAGCUCAACUCCGGAAUUGCCAUUGAAACUGUUUGGCUCGAGUACGAGAGAGGUGAGUGGAAUUCCCAGUGUAGAGGUGAAAUUCGUAGAUAUUGGGAAGAACACCGGUGGCGAAGGCGGCUCACUGGCUCGUAUCUGACGCUCAGGCGCGACAGCGUGGGGAUCAAACAGG
rnacentral:rRNA from 1 species